rnacentral:rRNA from 1 species
AUGUUGAUUCAUUCAAGAAAUUUUGACUUGCUUAAUAAGUUACAACACUGUUUGUGCCGCACAUUAUUUUUAUCUCCACUGGGUGGAGUGCUGCUUAUUCGUUGCCGUUUUUUAGCCUAUAAACACCGGUACGGUCUGGCUGAGCAUAUGCAUGUAAAAAAUCAAUAUUUGCAUGUUGAUUGCCUGAAUAUCCUCUUGCUGCAUUGUAGCAAUGCCCCUAUGCAUUGUGUUUGGUUGUUUGCAUUGUAUAUCUGCAUCGUAGCAAUGCUUCUAUGCAUUGUGUUUGGUUGUUUGCAUUGUAUGUGGUUACAUGAGUGCAUGUUGUUUUGUUGA